UUCGCUCGGGCAUUUUGGGCCAUAGUUCAAGUAGCUUCGAAUCUAUACCCACCACGUAGUGCACGGAACAUGUUCGGCAACUGGUUGCGGGGUAUUGAUAAACAAUUUUCUGCACAUAUUCUUGUGGGAGCAGCGGCCUUAUGCUGGGCGCUGUGGCUUACCAGGAAUUAUGUGUUUUUUAAUAACAAAUGUGUCUCAUCUCCUAUGCAGGUUAUUCAUGUGUGUACACGAUGGCUCCGUACUUGGUCUAUCCUGCAGAGGCCGGAGGACAGAGACUUUUUAUGA
rnacentral:rRNA from 1 species